rnacentral:lncRNA from 1 species
CUAUUUUAUUUGCAUGCAGUGGCGGAUCCAGAAGUUUUCAUAAGCGGGGGAAAGGGGGGGGCUGACUGACCUAGGCUAAGGGAGAGGUGCCGCUUCAGUCACGCUUCAGUGAUUCCUUAUAUAAUCAACCAAAUUUUCCCCACGAAAUGGGCCCCCAGAUCCGCCUAUUGCAUGGAUCAUAUGAUUAUCUCAUUUAGUUUAAGUCUAUUUUACACUUGAUUAACACGCAUUUUGUUUAUUUUUUCAAUCGGCACUACAAGUUUUUGUUAUUUUUUAAUUACCAGUAAGUAUUAAAAAAAAGGGAGAACGUAUUUAUCGUGGGGCAACAGAUAAAAAUAAAUGGGGAAUGUGUCCAUUGGAC